ACUGCAUACCAAAAAUCAGUCGAUACAGUUUUGAAUUGGAUCAGUAAAGAAGUAGAUACAAAUAAGACACAAGUUGUUUUCCGAAGCUUUUCUCCUGUGCAUUUCAGGGGCGGUGAUUGGAAGUCCGGCGGUAGCUGCCACCUCGAGACACUGCCAGACUUAAGUUCAUCACCAGUUUCACCGAGCACAAUGUUUUUCCCGAACAUAGUUGGCUCGGUGCUAUCCAAACACAAUAACGGGUCAUCAUCACAAACAACAUUGGACUUAUUAAACGUGACAUACAUGUCAUCAAAGCGAAAAGAUGGUCAUGCAUCUGUAUAUUAUUUGGGCCCGAAAGAUGGUGGGCCCGCACCUUUACGCAGGCAAGACUGCAGCCAUUGGUGCUUACCUGGCGUCCUAGAUUCUUGGAACGAGCUUCUGUAUGCAGUCUUUCUUAAACGUGAAUAUUCCGCUGGGAAUUAUACAGCCGAUAGUCCACAGCCAAUGUGAUCUACGGUAACGAAAGGCAGGACGAUGAAAGCGGACAAUGGAUAGUUUAAGAUCUUGGUGAGGUGGGUUUAUCAGUGGCGGUCUUAAAGAUUGUGGUGGUCGUUGAAAGCGGCAUAAUUGUGAUGGGAGUUCAGUGCCAAUUGCAUUGAUGAGAAAUAGCAUUUGAUUUGUAAAGAUUUAGGGGAGUUUUUACAUGUAAAGUUGGGGUGGUUGGGUAUAGAAAGCAUUGAUUCAUUCAUCUUUGAAUUGAAUAGAAAAGAAAUACAUAUUUUGGUGUUAAAAAAAAA